UACGUAGGUGGCAAGCGUUGUCCGGAUUUACUGGGCGUAAAGAGCGCGCAGGCGGUCGGAUCAGUCGAAUGUGAAAGCCCCCGGCUCAACUGGGGAGGGUCAUUCGAUACUGUCCGACUCGAAGGCAGGAGAGGGAAGCGGAAUUCCCGGUGUAGUGGUGAAAUGCGUAGAUAUCGGAAGGAACAUCAGUGGCGAAAGCGGCUUCCUGGACCAGCACCGACGUUCAGACACGAAAGCGUGGGGAGCAAACAGG
rnacentral:rRNA from 1 species